rnacentral:rRNA from 1 species
UACGAAGGGGGGCUAGCGUUGCUCGGAAUCACUGGGCGUAAAGCGCACGUAGGCGGAUUGUUAAGUCAGGGGUGAAAUCCUGGAGCUCAACUCCAGAACUGCCUUUGAUACUGGCGAUCUCGAGUCCGGGAGAGGUGAGUGGAACUGCGAGUGUAGAGGUGAAAUUCGUAGAUAUUCGCAAGAACACCAGUGGCGAAGGCGGCUCACUGGCCCGGUACUGACGCUGAGGUGCGAAAGCGUGGGGAGCGAACAGG